UCGGGAAUUUUGGGCAAUGGGGGCAACCCUGAUCCAGCCAUGCCGCGUGAGUGAAGAAGGCCUUCGGGUUGUAAAGCUCUUUCGGCGGGGACGAAACGGUCCGUGACAAUACCACGGACUAAUGACAGUACUCGCAGAAGAAGCACCGGCUAACUACGUGCCAGCAGCCGCGGUAAUACGUAGGGUGCAGGCGUUAAUCGGAAUUACUGGGCGUAAAGCGUGCGCAGGCGGCUCCUUAAGUCAGAUGUGAAAUCCCCGGGCUUAACCUGGGAACUGCGUUUGAAACUGAGGGGCUAGAGUGUGGAAGAGGGGGGUGGAAUUCCAGGUGUAGCAGUGAAAUGCGUAGAGAUCUGGAGGAACACCGAUGGCGAAGGCGACUCGCUGGAUCUUUACUGACGCUGAGGUGCGAAAGCGUGGGGAGCAAACAGGAUUAGAUACCCCCGUAGUCCCUGAGCGGGCUGGCAAGGCGCAU
rnacentral:rRNA from 1 species